CAAUCAAACGGUGGUCUUCUGGAGCACAGCGUGCGACCCAUCAUGGAGUAGGCCAAUACCACGACGGAACCUGUAGCAGACGGGUAAUGAAACAGGGAUCACUGUAGAAGGAAGCAGGAGGGAAGAAGGAGAGAGGAUGAAAGGCAGAGAAGAGGAGCAAGUGAACGAGAGGCAGGGAUGAUGUUGGAGGCGAUGGAGGUGUUAGAGAUGUAGAGGUCGUGGGUGUCAUCAUUACGUUAUGGUGGAAGGAGGAGAGGGCGAUAAAGAUGGUGGGAGAAUAAAAAAGGACAUGUAAAUUCUAACGUGCUUCGUAAACAAGUAAUCCCUUUCGUAAGCGUUGCUCGUGUUAGAAUCCAGCAUGAAUAAAAAAUAAUAGCGGCUUUACGAACGGUUUCUAUUAGUUUCAGCCACCCCAGGUUUCAAUACCACGAAUUUACAUUGUAACAAUGGACCUCGCGUAUCAAUGUAAUCCACUAUCGUGUUCAGCUAUGCAAAUUCCAGGAACAAAGUUAACUGGCGAGAAAAUGGCGCAGAGGGAUUGCACGACGAAGGUACGCUUACUAUUAAUCACGGCGGCUUACCAGGAAUGGCGUAAACCAACAUGAACCAGACAGGUCCGAAAACACGCGCUUGGAUGCCCAGAAGCUCG